UGCAAGUCGAACGAUGAAGCCGCUUCGGUGGUGGAUUAGUGGCGAACGGGUGAGUAACACGUGGGCAAUCUGCCCUUCACUCUGGGACAAGCCCUGGAAACGGGGUCUAAUACCGGAUAACACUCUGUCCCGCAUGGGACGGGGUUAAAAGCUCCGGCGGUGAAGGAUGAGCCCGCGGCCUAUCAGAUUGUUGGUGGGGUAAUGGCCUACCAAGGCGACGACGGGUAGCCGGCCUGAGAGGGCGACCGGCCACACUGGGACUGAGACACGGCCCAGACUCCUACGGGAGGCAGCAGUGGGGAAUAUUGCACAAUGGGCGAAAGCCUGAUGCAGCGACGCCGCGUGAGGGAUGACGGCCUUCGGGUUGUAAACCUCUUUCAGCAGGGAAGAAGCGAAAGUGACGGUACCUGCAGAAGAAGCGCCGGCUAACUACGUGCCAGCAGCCGCGGUAAUACGUAGGGCGCAAGCGUUGUCCGGAAUUAUUGGGCGUAAAGAGCUCGUAGGCGGCUUGUCACGUCGGAUGUGAAAGCCCGGGGCUUAACCCCGGGUCUGCAUUCGAUACGGGCUAGCUAGAGUGUGGUAGGGGAGAUCGGAAUUCCUGGUGUAGCGGUGAAAUGCGCAGAUAUCAGGAGGAACACCGGUGGCGAAGGCGGAUCUCUGGGCCAUUACUGACGCUGAGGAGCGAAAGCGUGGGGAGCGAACAGGAUUAGAUACCCUGGUAGUCCACGCCGUAAACGUUGGGAACUAGGUGUUGGCGACAUUCCACGUCGUCGGUGCCGCAGCUAACGCA
rnacentral:rRNA from 2 species